CACGUUUUAAAAACUUGGAGGGGAAUUCCGAAAGGGAAAGUCCAAAGAAGACAAUAUCUGCUAGCGGUGGGCUGGGGCCGUUACAAUUUGAAUCUGGGUUCAAUUUGAAUCUGGGUUCGAGGAAGUGGGUGGCACUGACAUGUGGUUGUGAGGAAGGAUAAGGGUAAGUUUGUACCUAAAACAAUGUUUGUGUAAGCAGAAGAAGAGAGCGCCCUGUGCUUUGAGUCGAUUUCGGUGCCUUGCUGCUGGAAAAUUGAAGCUCUUCAGUUCUAUUCCCCAUCUUUACAACCAUUGAAAGGAAUUUUCUGACGCUUCUGGGUCUGUUCUGGCAGGUGUUUGUGCUACAUAUUCUAUCCAUAGGAGAUGCUCUCGGCUCGACAUGUUCUUCUUCAGCUUCUCCAUUAUCGGCAUCGUCUUCCUCUCCCGAUUAUCGUCAACCAAAAUGGUCUUUCUGCCAUUUACUAGUCUCAAGCUUGUCUUUAUAAUCCCGAGAUUCAAAUGUAGCUUGGCCAGCUUCCUAUUCCCUUACAUCUCCCUCUCGUUACAUUUGAUAUUUUUCUUUCCUAUGACUUUCCUCAACUAAUUGAUUAUCCCGAACUAUCUUUGAAUGAACGUUUCAUUCACGUAGUAGUAGAAGAAUUGGAAUUGACUUUGAUUUAUUUAGAAUUAAACAAAAUGCACAUAUAGAAUUGAAUGACGUCCCAUCCAUCUAUUUUUAUGGA